CACGUAGGGGGCGAGCGUUGUCCGGAAUCAUUGGGCGUAAAGAGCUCGUAGGCGGCUCAGUAAGUCGGGUGUGAAACCCCCAGGCUCAACCUGGGGACGCCACCCGAUACUGCUGUGGCUAGAGUCCAGUAGGGGAGUGUGGAAUUCCCGGUGUAGCGGUGAAAUGCGCAGAUAUCGGGAGGAACACCAGCGGCGAAGGCGGCACUCUGGGCUGGAACUGACGCUGAGGAGACGAAAGCGUGGGUAGCAAACAGG
rnacentral:rRNA from 1 species